rnacentral:tRNA from 1 species
GCAGUGGUGGUUCAAUGGUAGAAUUUUCACCUUCCAUGUGGGAGACCUGGGUUCGAUUCCCAGCAAGUGUA